CUACGCACAAUCUAAUUGCCUACCUUGUCUGAAUUGUCUCUGUUUCACCUGGGGCCUGAUACAUCUGAGGCUAGAGGUGGCGCUGAAGAGCUCACAUUUCCUGUUCUACCAAAAUUUGCUGGAGUUGUUACAACAAAGUUAUGCUCUAUGUUGAGGUCUGCAGUCAUGACACCUUCCAAUACUUUUACCACCUCAGACAUUUUAGGCCUUUUUUUGCAAUCAAUCUGCAAGCACCACAUUGCAAGCAUCAUCAUCUGAAUGCAUCUUGCUUGUGUGCUUGCAUGUCGUUGCUGUUAUUGUCAAUCAAAUCUACCAACUGAUCAUUCUUUACCUUUUCCUCCAAUAGGCUGAUGAGAUGGAUGCUCUCUUCUGACCGGGAAGUGUCGAGGUUCUUUCUUCCACUGAUGAUUUCCAUGACCACGACGCCGAAGCUGUAGAUAUCCGCCUUUUCUGUGAUCUGUGAUGUCAACCAUUCAGGAGCUAAAUAUCCAGGCGUGCCUCUCAUUCCGGUAACCACUUGGCUCAUAUCCCUGUCUAUGAGUUUGCAUAGUCCAAAAUCAGAAAGUUUAGCAUUAAAGUCAUCAUCUAAGAGGAUGUUUUGUGGUUUGACAUCCAAAUGAGCAAUUCGUUUUGUGCACUCCUCGUGAAGAUAAGAGAGGCCCUUAGCUAUAUGAGUUAUAAUCUUGCACCGCGUGCUCCAAUCCAGAGGAGAAGCAUCAUUGUCAUGUCGGCAAUAGAUCCAUCUGUCCAAGGAUCCUUUGGGCAUGUACUCAUAUACCAAGAGCCUGUGGGAUUUCUCUGCACAGAAACCAAUCAAUCUCACCAGAUUAAUAUGAUGAAUGCUGCCAAUUGUCUGAACUUCUGCCGAAAAUUCUCUUUUGCCCUGACCAGUUCGAUCCAAACGUUUUACUGCAAUCCUUUCAUCAGCAAAUUGACCCUUGAAAACAGACCCAAAUCCUCCUUCCCCGAGCUUGUCUUUGAACUGCUCGGUUGCUGCUCUUAGCUGUUGAAAUGUGAACCUCAUUGGUGUUCCUUGUAGCUCCCCAAACUCUUCCUCUUCUUCCAUCUCAUGUUGUUGUUGUGUUCUUCGUUUACAUAUAAAGAAGGCGACGAGGAACAAGAUGGUGAGAAAAAUGAAGCCGCCUACAGGAGGUAGAAUUGCAACAACUCUUCUUCCAGAGGGGGAUUUCGGUUUCAUGCUUGUUGGCCCAAUAGUUGUAGGUAGAGUACUUGGGGUCGGAGGUGUUGCCUUGGCUGGGGGUGCAGGCAGGGGACUUUCAGCUGUAGGUGAGAGUGUUUGAUUAAUCAGGGGACAGAAGAUGACCUGGUACUUUGUGCCCGACGGGCAAGAGUAAGUGGAUGUAUCAUCAGGCUUGCUGUAGGCAUCUGGGCACAUCUGCUUAACGAAGGCCGAGUAACUUGUGUUGCAACGGCUUGCCGUGCUCCCAGUACAUGCAUUGCUACACCCUCCCGGAGCCUCCAGCUCUCUUGGGCACUGCGAUGUGAUGUUGGCUGCACAACGCGGCCCCUUGCUGCACCCUGACCUUCCCUGAAUCGGCACCGGCAGGAAGUCCAUGGGCACGUUGAAGCCAUCAAUGAGCGAGAUGUCGAAGAAAUCAUCAACACUUUGGCCUUGGCCAAGACUGAACUCGCCCAGCGUGCUUGGCGAUCGACCACUGGCCGUACAUGCGAGCAAGCCGCUGCAGUCACCAGUUUGGCAUGACCCGCCUUCGUCAAGGAGUGAGCAGCCUGUGCGCGGCCAGAUGCGCCCUGUUGAGGUACCAGCGGGCAUGUUCAGCGCCCAUGUCUCCCCCGGAUCGAGCUUCACGCCACCUCCCGGCAGAGCGGCUGGCCACACGGUGUAGGAGCAUUGGUUGAUGAUUUUGAAUGUGGUGGCCUCGCUGGUGGCUGCGAGUAGGAGUACGAGGAGGAGAGGGAGGAGGUGGAGACACGAAGAGGUACUCGCCACUGCCAUUUUUGGUACGAUUUUUUUGCUUGCACGCGUUAACUUGAAACACAGUCUGAGUUGGAAACUUGCAAUAGGGUUCCUGUGAUGGCUAACAGGGUGGAAGAGUGGUAGGGGAUUGUAGAUAGGGACUGCAUCUGUGUGUUGAUUCAUUCAACGGUCAGCAAAAAAACAGCCUAACAUGCCUAUAGCCAUGACUGUUUGAUAGGAACAGACUUGCUUGUUUGCUUGUUUAGUCCCUUUUGAAUUGUAGCUGUACGUCUUCCAAAGAAAAAGAAUGGGAAUCUUUGCAUCUGCAUAACGUGUUGUUUGAUCAAUUUUUCUGCCUAACAAAUUCUUUAAGCUGAUGUAGACCUAAACCCUAAACCCUAACUGCGCACUUUUCUGCCUUUAAGGAAAUUGUUAGGUUGCACAUCUUAAUUUGUUCAUUCCUAAUCUGCUGUUAUGAUUUGUCACGUCAUUCCUGAUCUGGAAUCUGGAGUCACCAACAGUUUAGAGGUAAUCUGGUGUUUGGGGGCAAAGCUGAAGCUGACAGCGGUUGGCAGCUGCCUCGAAGCAGCUGGAGGCCUCCUUCACCCGUCGACGACUGGCCUAGCUAUCAUACGCCGUCAACCACAUGGAACCAUGCAUGCAUGUCUCACUCAUCAUAACUGUUAGACCGGCAUAUUAGGGGCUUAGUCCAGUGGGCUGUGACCCAAGUUAUUUUAUAGUUAUUAGGGGUUUAGCCCAAUUAUCUUAUCGUUAUUAGGGUCGUUUGCUUAGGUGUCAAGUAAACCUCCUUAUAUAAGGAGAGGAGAUGUAUCAAUCUAAUUAAGUAAGAAGUAAUCAGUAUUUGCUCAGCUUCCCUUAGGGAGCCGGGAGACCUAACCCUAGCUGCCUCUUGCACCGCCGCCGUCUCUUCUCCACCACGCAAGGACGGCGCCCAGCCGCCGGCCGCCGCGCCCUCGACCUCGUCUUCCUCCAUCUUUCUCCUACAAUCUCCGCCCUAGAACCGGCAGAACCCUAGCUCCUAACACUUUGGUAUCAGGUAGCUCAGUUUCGAUCAUGUCUUCGCCGCCGCCCAUCCCGUCGCUUCCGCUGCCGACCGUCACCACCGCGCCGCUGCUCUCCCCGUCCGCGCCGCUGGUCGCAUCCUCCGGUGCCACCACCACCCAGAUGACGAUGCCCUCCACCGCACCACCGGCCGCCGUCUACUCCCCGGCGGAGAUCACCGGGGUCCUCAACGAUCUCGUCACCGCCGUCCAGGGGAUACGGCUAUACCUAGCCGGCCCCUACGGGCCGCCGGCCGCCGCGACCGGCCCAGCCGCCCUGCCAUGGUAUUCGGCACCCGCGGCGCCGACCGGGCCUCUACACCACCACUGGCCGGUUUAGCCGCCGCCCGCCGCCGCGCCCCAAUGGCCGCAGUGGCCGGCGCCGGCCCUCGCCGCGUCACCCACGCUACCCGGGUCCUCGCCGCCACCGCCCUGGCAGCCCUGGUAGCCGUCGGACCCCAGGGCCACCGCGACGCUGGUUGGGCCACUACAGCCCUCGCUGCAGCUACAACCAGCCCCCGCCACCGCCCCGAUCUGGCCACAAUGGUUGGCCCCGGCCAUCGCCGCGCCCGCCGCCUCCGCCGUUUCCAGGCAGCAGCAGCUGCCACUGCCGGCGCCUCCGCCGCCCAGCACCGGGCUGACUACAACCGCGCCGGCGGGCGUGCCGAUUCAGCAAGUGCGGUACCCGCCCUCGCCGUCCCAGCUUCCGGCCUGGUUGGCCGGGACGUCACCGCCGCCAGUCUACACCGUGGCCGCGGACCAGCAGGCGCCCUCCCUGCCGUAUGACGGGCCCUCCGGCUCCACAGGUUUCCACACUGGCUUCGACGGGUCAUCGCUUUCCUGCGGACCACCUGUGCACAACGGACCAACACCAUCUUCUUCGCUGCUCCAUAUCGCCGAGCCAUACACUCACGCGGUCAUGCUCAGACGCAGGCAAGGCUUUUGCAUCUUUCAACAAAAGAAAAGAAAAAGCUUCGGACCCGGCCUGUGAUGUAUGAACUCUUAAUGUGGCUGUCAUUAAGAGCCUAUAGAAUAAAUUAAGUUCUUUUUUUGUGAUGUAUGAACUCUUAAUUUAUAUACUAACGAAUAAAUUAAGUUCUGCUGUAGAGCAAGAAGGUUUGUAAUGUUAAAACAUUUUGUAUGUAAAAUUAACUCAAGAGAAGCGGCUUUAGAUUGUACUAAUUUAGAAAGAUUCAACAUACAAAUCUUUUACUCAUUUCACUUGGCACGUGAUACAAUGGACAAAUCUUUCACUCCAGAUAAGCGGUUCAUAUUUUCAUUGUCCUAUUAUUCUAUUUUUAGUUUUAAAUUCAUGAAUAUUUUUAAAAACUUGUGAACAUUUUGAAUUAAUUAAAAUAAUUUGAAUUUAUGAAGUUUUAUAAGUAGAAAAAUAUUUUUAACUCGUGGACAUUUUUAAAUUUGAAUAAACUGACCGAAAUAAAAAAACCAGCUAGAAAAAUCGCUGAAAUAGAAACAGAGCUUUUUUAGUGCUUUUUUAGGCAUAUUUUUUUGAGGUGUUUAUGAGGGAUAAAUAGAAAGAGAGCUUUUUUAUCAGGGGUUGCGACAUUCCGUGGGCUGCAUAGAUCGGGCCAUAUACGCCCGCAUGAGGCAGGGGCCUGCGCUCAAGAAAAGAAUAACUUUUGUCUCAAAAAGAAUUAACCUUUCUCCUCCAGCCAUUGCCGGCGGCGCCCCCAUCCGCGGCGAAGUCGCCGGUGAAGUUGGUCAUCUGGCCGCAGGGCAUUUCUGUCGCCAUAUCUGGCGCCCAGUACCACGUAUUUCUACCGCGCUCCAUCAGCAGCCGCGCCGCCCCUAAUCGCCGGCCUCCAGCGAGGGGAACCGCGUUGCCGUCUUUCGGUUUGAUCCCCCUCAAUCCUCAUCGGUGGAG
rnacentral:lncRNA from 1 species